GUCAGCUGUUGUUUUAUGAUUGUUUUGUGGUUAUUCUGUUUGCCGAUGGACUCAC
rnacentral:sRNA from 1 species